CACGUAGGGUGCGAGCGUUGUCCGGAAUUAUUGGGCGUAAAGAGCUUGUAGGCGGUCUGUCGCGUCUGCUGUGAAAAUCCGGGGCUCAACCCCGGACUUGCAGUGGGUACGGGCAGACUAGAGGUGUGGUAGGGGAGACUGGAAUUCCUGGUGUAGCGGUGAAAUGCGCAGAUAUCAGGAGGAACACCAAUGGCGGAAGGCAGCAC
rnacentral:rRNA from 1 species